AUUGAACGCUAGCGGGAUGCUUUACACAUGCAAGUCGAACGGCAGCGCGGACUUCGGUCUGGCGGCGAGUGGCGAACGGGUGAGUAAUGUAUCGGAACGUGCCCAGUAGCGGGGGAUAACUACGCGAAAGCGUAGCUAAUACCGCAUACGCCCUACGGGGGAAAGCAGGGAAUCUUAGACCCUUCCCCUUUUGAGCGGCCGAUAUCGGAUUAGCUAGUUGGGGUGGUAACGGCUCACCAAGGCGACGAUCCGUAGCUGGUUUGAGAGGACGACCAGCCACACUGGGACUGAGACACGGCCCAGACUCCUACGGGAGGCAGCAGUGGGGAAUUUUGGACAAUGGGGGCAACCCUGAUCCAGCCAUCCCGCGUGUGCGAUGAAGGCCUUCGGGUUGUAAAGCACUUUUGGCAGGAAAGAAACGUCGCGGGCUAAUACCCCGUGGAACUGACGGUACCUGCAGAAUAAGCACCGGCUAACUACGUG
rnacentral:rRNA from 1 species